AUCACCAUGCCUGGACUGUAUUUGUAUUUUUUAAACAUUACAGCACUUCACUGGGGACAUACCAGUAAACAGAAUACAUGUGGCUCUUAUCUUCACGGAGCUUACCUUUCAGGAGACAGGCAUGUACAGCAAAUAUUUUACAGGGUGAUGAACACAUGGGUCUUUCCUGUUUUUUUUUCCUAAAUGUUCAGUAACUUGGUGAUAUCACUUUUGUGAUUAUAAAAUUUUAAGCAGCAUAUAAAAUAUUUCAUUGUAUGUAUAAGUGUAAUUGCCCAAUGGGUUCAUCCUGCCCCCUACACAGCCAAAAUCAGUUCACCGAUACUGUGGCAUUGAAGUUAGUUGUUUAACUGACAAAAGGCCAACCACAUGGGAGAUGGAGUUAUUACCCAAAUCAGUCUCCCCAAAGGAUCAAAGAUUAAGGUUUUUAUGGACAAUUUGAUGGCCAAGGGCUAGGGAAUGGGUACUGCUGACUGAUUGGGGAUGAAAUCAUGGAGGUGUAGAAAAUGGUCCUCUUGUCCUGAAUCUGCCUCUGGGUGGGGCCACAGGAUCAGCUGAGUCAUGAGUCAGGGUCCAGGUGAGGUCCAUCGGUUGCCAGAAUGGACAUCUAAAAAUCAUCUCAAAAGACCAGUCUUAGGCUUUAUAGUGAUGUUACCUAUAGGAUCAACUGGGGAAAUCACAAAUCUUGUGACCUCUGGCCACAUGAGCCCUGAGAAUUAAAGCAUUAUAGAAAUGACAUCUACAUUUUAGCAGAGUUCAGGCCUCUUUCAUGAUCUUCAUCUUGUGGCUUUUCAUUAGUUUUACAAAGGUAGUUUUCAGUUCCUGAGCCAGGAAGGAACUGAAGUUAAACUACAGACUAAAUUCCUCUUGUGGUGAGCUUGGCCGACAUCCAGAAAUGAGUGAGGACAGCCAGCCUGUGGGGCUAGAAGCAAGAUGGAGUCAGCCAUGUUAGACUUCUCUCACUGUCAUAAGCUUUACAAAGUCAGUUUCAUAAGUAGUUGAUCAAAACAAAUCUGAAUUUGGAUACAUAGUUAUUUCUGCAUGGAUUCUUAUUCUAGUACACUGAGGGGAAAAUAAUGAAUCAGGAAAUAAACAUAGGUGCAUGGUGACUAAGAUGAUUGGACAGGCCCCAAUUUCUUGGCCAUGAUUAACGCAGGCCCCUGCACAUACUGACACUCACAAUAUCUUUAGUUUUAGUUUCUAUCUUGAAGGAAGAAGAGUUGUGAUUUUUACUGGUACGUUGUCAAAGGGAACAACUUGUACAAAUACAAAAGCAAACAGCUUUCUCUUUGAGAUCUAAGAAUAGUGCAUCAAGACUGGGGCUUUGACUAGGAGGUGGAACAUGACAAGAGAUAAAGCGGAGAAGUCAGCAGGGGCCUUGUAAAGUCAUAUUAAGACAUCUGAACUUUAUCUUGAGGGCAUUAGGUAUCCAAAUAAGUGCUUUACACAGGGAAUAGCACAAUCAUAUCUGUGUUAUAGCGAUCACUCUGGCUGUAGUGUAGAGAACAGAUCAAAGGGGCCUUGGGUGGGGCAGUGGAAACAGGUGGGUGGAGUCUAGGGGGACAAAGACUAGGUAGAAGUCUAUUAAGGUAUAUCAGGAGAAAAUUCUGGUUGCCUGAAUUAACUAUGGCAGAAGGGAUAGCCAGAGGCAGUAAGCUUCAAAAGACAUUUAAUGGGAUAGAUCAGACAUUCUGAGAGACGAAUUGGAUGUGAAGGGUAACCUGUGGUAAUGAAUUCAGAUUAACGCCUGUCCCCAAGCAGACAUGAUAGUACUACCUUUAUCUGUGAUACCAAAAUCUAAAAAUCAAAAAAUGUCUGCAAGCAAAAGUUUUUUCAUAGUUUAAUGGUAAAGCCUAAAUCAAGUUGUAUAUCAUUAAACAAUUUUUUUCAGUUGCUCGACAAAACAUUCAAUGUGUAUCAUUUUUAUUUAACCUAUUUAAUGUGACUAUUCACCUUGCUGCAAAAAUAUUAAUGUAUUUGAUGAUGAGUGACUUCCCAGACCCCUUGGAUUAUUACAUAAUAUAUGCUAUGUAUUCCGGAUUAUUAUUGAAAUUUCCAAAUCAUCUGCCACCAGGACUAUGAAUAACAGAUAGUAGACAAGGUUUGAAGUGGCUGUGGAGAAAGUGCUGAUCACAGAAUAUAUAUUUAUGGGUUGUAUUUACAAUUCAAUUGAUUUAGGAGAUUACAUGUAUUACGGUAUUAUUUUCUGAUGAACAGUUUGACCUAGGGGUGAAGUUUUUACAGAAGGGUACAAUGAGGAAAGAUAAUUGAGGAUGUUAGCAACAGUGGUUGGAGUUAUAAACAAGGAAAGAUGUGAUGGCUGGAGGUGCUUGAAGAAAGGGAGAGGAAAGAAGAUGGGCCAAGGAACUGAAUGCUUCUCUAAGCUACCUACAGAGAUCCCAGGAAUAACAGGGAGGGAGCUGUGUCAUGGUACAUUUCAGAAGUGGAGCUUUCCAUAGUAAUGGAUGACAUGGUUCAGGGUAUGGCCAUGGAAAGAAGUAGCCAGUGUGGAGUAGAGAUCAGUAUCAGUCACUAGAGAUAUGUAAUUUUAGGAACUGAGAGAAGCUCUCAUGUUGAGUGGCACUGAAAUCACCUAGGAUCACAGCUAGGAGGCAGAGUGGAGAGGAAGAUGGUGACUCAAAGUCUGAAGUCUUUCACAAAUGGGGAAGUGAACCAAAGGAAGCGAGCCAAAAGUGAACCAAAGAAAGAUGUGACACCGACAAGGAGAAAAGAUUUAGCCAGAUGGCAUAAGCCUCAAAGAGUCAGGAGCUCGUAUUUGAGGGGAGGAGGUCUUAAAGUAGCACUGGGGCAAAGGAUAGAACUACUCCUACCCUCCUGGCCGGAGAUGCUUUGCCUGAGGACCCCAAGGAAUUGAUGCCCUUAGGGGAUAUCCAAGUUUCAUUUAAGGCUAAGAGCCCUAUGAAGAGAUUCAAAGGAGUUUACAAUGAUACUGAAGUUCUGAAGGAGGAAUAGGAAUAGUUAGAAAUGGGAAAGGGAAGAAGAAUCUCAGAGUCCUGUGAGAAUAGCAGGAUGGGAGAAAAGAAGUGAAUAGAAUGGCCUCCAUGUUGGUGGGUUGGGGUGUGACAAAUUAAUAAUUAAUUUUCUGGUCACUAGUAAAUAGAGAUCGUAAAAUAAUUUUAAGAAUUAGAACUUUGGGCCAGGCGCGGUGGCUCAAGCCUAUGAUCCCAGCACUUUGGAAGGCCGAGACGGGUGGAUCAUGAGGUCAAGAGAUCGAGACCAUCCUGGUCAACAUGGUGAAACCCCGUCUCUACUAAAAAUACAAAAAAUUAGCUGGGCAUGGUGGCGCGUGCCUGUAAUCCCAGCUACUCAGGAGGCUGAGGCAGGAGAAUUGCUUGAACCCAGGAGGCGGAGGUUGCCGUGAGCCGAGAUCGUGCCAUUGCACUCCAGCCUGGGUAGCAAGAGUGAAACUCCGUCUCAAAAAAAAAAAGAGAACUUUUACUUUUCUGCCCUGUAAUUUGAGAUCUGAAGGUAGGCAUGUGGGACUAGUAUGGCAGCUCCAUAAUACCGUCAGUCACCCAGUCUCCUUGUCCUUGGUGCUGUCAUCAUCUUUAGUAUGUGCUUUUUGUCUUGUUGCCACAGAAUGGUUGUCAGAACUUCAGUUAUCACCUCUUUUUUCCAGACAUAAAGGAAGAAGAGUGAGGGCAAAAGGCAAAGAAUACCAGCUGAGCUAACACUUCCUCCCUCACCCACCUUUAAGCUUUUCCAAAAACCAGAACCGUCACCCAACACCUUCUGGUUAUGAUUUUUUUUUUUGGUUGAGAUUUAGUCGUGUGGCCACCCCUUUUUAGAAAGGAAGUGGGUAAAUGUAGUUCUGUUAGAUGGGAACAUUGCUCUGUCUAGCAGAAAUCAAGAUACUGUUAGAAGGAAGAAAGAGAGAAUGAAUGUUGGGUAGGUAAAUAGGAGUAUCUUCCCAAGGUGGUCAACAAGAAGCAUUUGUCUAGUAUACAGGUUUCCCAUAGAACUGGCCCCAUUUGAUCCCUAGUGUGGUGAUUCUUACAUGUCCUCUCCUGCUCUAGAAUAUCUGCAUCACCUGAGAACUUAUGGGAAAUGGAAUUCCGCGGCUCCACCGUAGGCCAGUUGACUCAGAAACGCUGGGGAUUCAACCCAGGAGUCUGUGCUUUAACAAGCCCUCCAGGUGCUUCUGAUGCCCAUAAAAUUUGAGAACUACUGUCCUAGUGCAGCGGUUCCCAAUCAAUGGCAUACAGUAAAAUCACUGAUAGAGUUUUUUUUUUUAAAACUACCUAAGCCCAGAGCCCUAUUAUAGAAGAUUCUGGUUAAAUAGAUCUGGGAUGAGCUUCUUGUAUCUAUAGAGUAGUGCCCCCUCAUUCAUGGUUUCACUUUCCAGGGUUUCAGUUACCUGUGGUCAGCCAUAGUCCAAAAAUAUCAAAUGGAAAAAUCCAGAAAUAAAUAAUUUAUAAGUUUUAAAUUGUAUGGUACCUUAAAGAGAAGGGUUAUAAAAAUUUUUUUAAAGUUUUAAAUUGUAUGUCGUUCUGAGUUUAUGAUGAAAUAUUACAGUAUAUUGUUAUAAUUAUGCUAUUUUAUUGUUAAUCUCUUACUGUGCCUAAUUUAUAAGUUAAACUUUAUCAUAUAUAUAUGAAGAAACAUAGUAUAGAUAGAGUUCUAUCUAUGGUUCAGUUCUAUGGUUUCAGGCAUCCACUGGGGGAACUGGAACAUAUUCCCCACUUAUAAGGGGGCCAUUCUGUAUUUCAUGCUGCAGGUGAUUCUGAUAUGCUGAUAUGGCUGAUAGUUAAACUGGCAUUUAGAAAUGACUGUCCCAGUGAGUUGAGGGCACACCAGACUUUUUUUAACUUGUAAAACAACCUAUCAACUUAGUAAACAGACAACCUACAGAAUGGGAGGAAGGUUUUGCGAACUAUGCAUCUGACAAAGGUCUAAUAUCCGGCAUUUAGAAGGAACUUAAAUUUACCAAAAUACAACAACGAAACUCCAUUAAAAAGUGGCCACAGGACAUGAACAGACAGUUCUCAAAAGAAGACAUACACCAGACUUUUUAGAAGUCAGCUUUGGUUCUGCUUUUGGGGAAAGCCUAGACCCUGUGAGCAGGCCAGCAAUGGGAUUGUUUUGCUUUCAGGACUUACUGAGAGUUGGAAACAGCAGCAGCUUCUUAACUUUGAAGGGAUCUGUAGCCAAGGGUUGUUACACUUCCAAGGGAGUUCCAGUCUCUGAAUGAGGGAAUCUUUGGCUUCUGUGGAAAGAGCCAACCAUGACCCGAUUGAUUACCCAGAUCUUUGGGGGAAGUCAGUGUUGAGGCUGCCAUUUGCCUUCCCAGGGAGGAGAAGAGGCCUGAGAUAUGUAUGCAUUUGCAUGUAUUGAAUGAAUGCUGAGGCUAACAAGGACAGAGGCGCAGGGUCUCUUGCAGCUUAAAAUAGUUAUCUUCAGGGUCAUCAAAUCUGUACUUACCAUUUAGCAUGGUCAUGCGGCUCAGAGUUGUACGGGGGACCAAGUCUUGUCUCUCCCUGUGGGUUGUGUAAGUGCUUUGAGGGCCCAGGGUUAUCAUGGACUUUUAUCUCCAGGUGCUUACAUAUUGCAGGCUUUUAGUUUGUUGAGUAAAUGCAUGGGGGAAUAUAUCAUGAAUGGGGACAGUGUACCUUCAUCUCCGCUCUCUUUUCUUUAUAUGGCUGAAAUGUCAAAUGACCUGAUGAGAGUGAGCCCCUUUCAAGUACCACAUCUCGCUAUUCCCUCUACCUGCCAGUUGCCAGAAAAGUCUACUACAGCAUCCCAAAAAUGCGAAGAAUUGUUCUGUAUCAAUUAAAAAGGCCACUUCCACCAACAUCUUUUCUCAUUGCUGUUUAUUCAAGUAAAACCUGAAAUAUGUGCAUGUGGAAAGCAGAUAGUUUGCAUGGAUUUAUUUUCUUCAUUCUCAAACCUUAUAUUUCAAAAGUCUCUAAAUUCAUCUUAAAAACAUCAUGAAAAUAUAAGAGGCAUUAAGCCAUCAAAGUGUAAUUCUUUAUGGCCCAAUUAGUAUUUCAUCAGCAUUUGCUGUUUUCUCAAGUAAAGGAAUCUUGGAUAAGGAGCAAUUUCAUGUUCCCUCCUAUAUCCCGUCAUAGUGGGGCAUAUGUUCAUUGCUAGAUCAGAGGGAGUUACAGGUUCAUAGAUCUUUCCAUUUCUCAAGUACAGUCCCAGCUGCACCCUUUCGUCAGAUGGGCGCCUUCUGAAUCUAAAAAGCAACAAGCUUAAUAACUUAAGGACUAUAUUUAAUAUUAUUUAUCCCACUUUAUAUAGGCACUUAUAAAAUAAUUCAUUGAAGACUCUAGGAUUAUUUUAGAUUAAUUUAUUUUUGAUAAAUUGGUUAAUGAAUAACUAUGGAAAAUCCAUAUAAAACAAAUAGACACAGAAUCAUUGAACUAAAAGUGACCUUAAAGGGGGCAUUUAAGAAUCUCCAGGCAUUUUAUCUCAGCACUUUUGCAUCUUCUCUGCCCAUUCCCUAGGAAAUGGUUCUCAAACAGUAGCAGAAUUCCCUGGAGGACUUUUUAAAUUAAAAAAUAUAUGUUUUUGAGACAGGGUCUCACUCUGUCAGCCAGGCUGGAAUGCAGUGACAUGAUCACAGGUCACUGCAGCCUUGACCUCCCAGACUCAAGUGAUCCCCCCUUAGCCUUCCUAGUAGCUGGGACCACAGGCAUGCACCAUCAUGCCCUGCUAAUUUUAUUUUAUUUUAUUUUACUGUAGAGACAGGGUCUCUCUGUGUUGCCCAGGCUGCUCUAGAACUUUUGGAAUCAAGUAGUCCUUCCACCUGGGCCUCUCAAAGUGUUGAGAUUACAGGCAUGAGCCACCAUGCAUGGCUAGGCUUUUUAAAAAGUACAGAUUGCUGGGCUCUACUCCAGAGUGCCUAGUUCAGUAGAUACGAGAUAGGGCCUGAGAAUUUGCAUUCUAAGAAGUUCCCAGUUAAUGCUGUUGCUGUUGGUUUAGAGUACCACACUUAGCCAUUGCUCUAAGCCAGAAAACACUGUGCACUCCCCAUUACGUCAGGUUGUUCUCUUGAUUAAUUUUUGUCAAGCUGUCAUCAGAUUUGGGAUUUCACAGACCUGAAAUAUUUAAAAAAAACAACAACAAAACUAAGCAAUAAACAAUAGUAACAAAACCCACUUUGGGAAUAGACAUAAUGAUAAACUUUUUAAAAUUUAACAAAUGAAGGCAUUAGAAAAAUUUGUUUUCCAUCAUCAUUGUUUUGUUUUAAAAGGACAUUUAAUCAUGAACAUCAUAGAAUAAUGGACUGUCUCUUCAAAUGAAUAAUUCAGCUUUGUCUGAAGCUCACUUCGUUGCUAUGGCAUGGCAAAGGCAUGAUGGUCGAAGCAGUCUGCUUUAGGUACAGGCAAAACAGAGUUGCAUCUUCUGUAGAUCAUUUUAAAACAAUAAUAGAAUCCACUAAUAGUUUGUCUGCUUUUCAUUAUCACUAUAAACAGGCAGUUCCAAACAAUGUCAGUGAGAAAAUGCCUCCCCUUCCCCAGGGUGGACGACUCCUGCCAACUCUUGGUUCAUCACUGCUUUGUGUCCUCAUUUUUCCCAUUUUGCCAAAAAGCAGUGAACUGUCAUCCUGGACCCUCACCAUCUGGUGGUUGAGAGCAACUGGGCUAAGUUACACGUGCUUAUGGAGUCUUUGAUUCUUAAUUUUAUUCAAACUUGAUAUGGAAAGCAUAUAUCACAUUUCAUAGGUCAAAGAGGAAUAUAAACUACUUGAGUCCCAAGAGUGAUGAUUUUAUCUAUGUUAGAGAAAAUUGCGCCAGCUGCUUUUGGUAAUCCCAGCACUUUGGGAGGCUGAGGCGGAAGGAUUGCUCGAGCCCAGGAGUUCAAGACCAGAUAGGGCAACACAGCAAGACCUGUCUCUAUCUUUAAACAAUUUUUUUAAAUUAUACAAAUUUUAAAAACAUAUAUGAAAAAUUUUUAAAUUGUUUAUAAUUAUUUGGAGAAAUAGAGUCUAACACAUAUAUAAGCACAAAUAUUUUUAAAAUUAUUUAUUUAACUAGAAAUAAUGGACAAAGUUAGAGAAUUCUAAUUUUCAAACGCAAAGUAAAAAGCCAGAGAUUUUUUCAUAAUAUUGAGUUCUUCACCAUAACAUGAGGAAUUAAAAAUGAUUUUUAUUUCAAAACUUAAUUUUAUCUAAUCUAUGGCUUAAUUUUAAGUUAACUACCACGUGUUAUUUUAUUUAAAUUUCAUCCUUUAAUUGAUAAGAAUAUGCAGUCAUUUCACCAGGUGGUGUUUGAAGAUGCACAUUUCUGCCAGCACAGUGGCUCACACCUAUAAUCCCAACACUUUGGGAGGCAAUCACUUGAGCCUACAAGUUUGAGACCAGCUUGGGCAACAUGGCAAGAUCCAGUCUCUAAAGAAAUACAAAAAUAAGCCAGGCAUGGUGGCACGUACCUGUAGUCUCACUGCUCCAGAGGCUGAGGCAGAAGGAUUGCUUGAGCCUAGGAGGUCAAGGUUUCCAUGAGCUAUGAUCAUGCCACUGUACUCCAGCCUGGGUGACAGAGUGAGAUUCUGUCUCAAAAAAUAAAAAGUUAUUAUCCCUAUUUGGCUGGGUGCAAUGGCUCACACCUAUAAUUCCCACACUUUGAGAGACCUGGACUCACUUGAGCCCAGGAGUUCGAGACCAGCCUGGGCAACAUAGGGAGAUAUCUCUACAAAAAAUACAAAUACAAAUAAAACAAUUAGCCAAGCAUGGUGGCAGGUGCUUAAAGUCUCAGCUAGUCAGAAGGCUGAGGUGGGAGGAUCUCUUGAGGCUGGGGGUUUAAGGCUGCAGUGAGCCAUGAUCAUGUCACUACACUCUGACCUAGGAGACAGAAUGAGACUUUGUCUCCAAAAAAAAAAGAAAAACAUGUGAAACUAAAUUGUAAUACAAAAUUAAACACCAGCAUAAGAGAAUGUUGCCAGAUAGUUAAUAUAUGAUGAAGUGUUGGAAAUAGUAAGUAUGAGAGUUUAAUGGAGAGCAGUGUGACUGGCUGAAGGGGGUCAGGGAAAUUUCACGAAUUUAAUGAAAUGGCAUCUGAAGAAUAAGGCAGAUUCUUAUACACACAGAAAAAGAACAUGGCAGGCUAGUUUUGGAGACAUUGAGUUCCUCUGGUUGAAGUGGAGGGUUCUUUGGCAGAGUAUGGGAGAUAAAUUUGGAAAUGUAAAUUAGAGCUUGAUUGUAGAGAAUUCGGAAAGCUUUCUGACGGUAAUAAUGAACACUAUGAUAAUGGUGAUACAAAUAAUAACUUUAAUUUACUAAGCAAUAUAUACCAGGUGCUGUGCUAAGUUGUUUACCUGUAUUACCUAAAAACUCUAUUGAAUAGUUUCUGUUAUCUCCAUUUUAUAUGUAAAGAUAGUGAGCCUCGCAUAGGUGAAAUGACUUGGCCAAGAUCACUUCACCAAUAAGUGGCAGAGAGCUGAAAUUUGAACCCAAGUUUGUCUAAGUCCAAAACCAAUGCUUUUAUAGGUCAUCCAAACUAGGUCAAGGAUGACAAAUGUGUUUCAAUUCAAGUGCCAACUUUUGAUUUAUUGAUAAAAUCACAACAAAAUAGAAAAAAAAAUCACCUUGAUGGAUUUCCGAUGUUUGCUGUAAAUGUGGGAUGAGAGUUUCUUGGUAUGCGUGAUACACAGUGACGACGUAGGCUCUAGAAAACUGGAAGCCAUCAGAGAUUUUUGAACAGGGCAGUGACUUGAUAAAGUAAAGUUUCCAAAGCUUUAACCAAGCAGCAGAGUUUAAGGUGAGUAGAUAAUAGGAGUAAUGGAAGCAUAUGCUCUGAUCAUCCAGUAACAAGUCUUAAGGACCUGGUGGUCUAAAAUGAGCCCAUUCAGAAAUUUUCUUCUACUUCAAGUGAUCUAUUUUGACUAUCAAGAUACAAUUCUUUGGAUAGUAGCUAUCUCCUCCACUGACCUCUAUGCUCCAUGAGAACAGUGAGCUUGUAUGUUUUGUUCAUUGCUCAAUUCCCCAGUGGGUAAGCAUUCCAUAUAUUUUUCUUAAAUCCAGUAAUAGUAAAAGCAAUAGUAGUAACAGAAAGCACUCACUUUAUGCCCAGACUGGGUUAAGUACUUUGAGUAUAGCAAAUGCACAUGGAAUCAGACUACCUGGGUUUGAAUUCUAGCUCUGCCACUUUCUAGCUAUCUAAGCAAGCUGGUUAAACUCUUCUGCCUGAAUUACCUCAUCUUUAUGGUGGGAAUAAUAAUAGUACUUAUCUCAGAGAGCAGCAGCAAGAAAUAAAUUAGGUGAUAUAUGUAAAUCAAUAAAAACAGGGAGUAUUCAAUUAAUUAUUGGUUACUAUUAUCUUUUUAAAUUAUUAUCAUCUUCACCAUUCUAUACUUAACUUGUCCAUUAGAAAAUAAGUAUAGUAGAGUCAAAGGAAAGUCUCUAACUUCUAUGGCAUGCCUGUUUUGUGUCAGACCUGUUAGGCUCUUUUAUAAAUGAUGUCCCAGCUAACUUAAAACUCCAAGUAGAAUUGCACUGCCAGAAGCUACUUAAUUAUCUUUUCACCAAACACAAAACCCACGCAAAUCUGGAUUUUUUUUUCUUUUCAACUGAUUAUAGGCUUUAACAAAUCUAGUUUCAAAAAAUGUAUUUUUUAAGGUUAAUUUAAAAAGCUUUACACUGGGGGGCUCCCAUGGGGAGGCAGGCUUCAGAUCAGGUCAUGCAGGGGCAAUGAACCCGAGGGAGGAGGCAGAUGGACAGAGGACGCAGGCAGAGGGAGGGGGUCUGCAGAGAGAAGAAGGUACUGACCAAGGUGUGGAAUGACCAUCUCUACCAAGAGGCCGUCUACCUCCCAGAGUGUCCAGACACUGGUGCACUCAUUCCCACAUGAGUGCCUGGGCUGCCACAGCCCUGAAGAAAGUGGCACCCACUCUGGCGGUCAGUGGGUCUGGCCUGGUGAAAGAAUCAUCACAGGCUUAGAGAGCUGGACAGCCUUGGGAGAGUAAGGGAGACAUCUCUUCCAGCCUCCUGCCCUCAACCUGAGUCCAGCUCUGAGCCCUGGGUCACCCAGGGCCACCCCGGACUCACUGGAAUUCCUCCACCAGUAGGUCAAGUUCUGUAGAGGUUAAGGGGGUCACAGUCCUACCAAAGCCUCAUGCAGUCAUCCUCCAUCCCCUCAAGGCCUCUUCCCUGAUCUAUUCCAUCCUGCCACUUUACUCAUCUCAUCAGCUGCCCCUGAAGCACCCUUUUGGUUUUCAUUGGGACUCAGGGCUGGUUUUGUCUUUCAAGGCCUUGGUGAAAGGCUGGCCCAGGAUUUGCAGCCACACCUCAUACAGCACCAGCUCUGCUUUCUCCCCUAGAGCGAUGGGGGUAGAAGUGGUAUCAGCCUGGGCCCUCCUAUCCUAGAAGCCCUGGGAUGGGACCCACACCCAAGCUCUAAUGCUCCCAUCCAGCAGUCAGCCAUUGGUGGUCUAAGGGCCAAUCCCUUGCUGCCUGUUUUUGAGUGGCCCAUGAGCUAAGAAUGGCUUUUACAUGUUUAAAUGGUUGAAAACCAUAACAAGUAGAAUAAUAUUUUGUGACACCUGAAGAGUAUGUGAUAUGCAAAUUUUAAUGUCCAUCAAUAAAGUUUUAUAGGAUCAUGCCAGGGUGGAGGAAAAGGCUUUUAUUCUUUUAGUGUAGCCUUUUAUGCUUGAAGAGCAAAUUAUAUUCCCUUGCAAGAAAUUCAAAGGUCAGUAGCUAGGUGCCGGCCUCAGCACCAUGCCUAUCUAUACUUGCUGCUCUUUUUUUUUUUUUUUUUUCCUUUUCCAGCUUCUCCUCUCAUCACAUAAACUCUCUUGUCUGUCACCUGGCAGUAAAAUUAAACUCAUGGAUGAUUCCCUUUUGUAGCUGAAGUUUAGAGACAAAAGCUAGCUGGCUAAUAGGAAGGAGAAUACACGUUUUAUCUAGUCAAGCAAAACAUCCCUUUGCCUGCUGUUUAUUAAAAACAAAAUCAAAAUGACAUUUCAUCACCACUGAGCAAUACUUGUCUCUAUUUUGUAGGCCUUUCCUAUGACGAUCUUUAGUUAUGUUAAUAUAGUAAGUGAGUUUGGCCAAUUAUUGAUCUUUUAUCAUAAAGGAGAAGUUAAGGGGUUAGCAAGGGCCCUUGAAAUCCAAAGAUACUAGCAACCAUUUUUCCAUUAAUUGCAACCUAUUCACCACAGUACAUCUUACCUUUUUUAUAACAAGUAUCCAGAUAGACUAGCUUGCCCUUAGACUCUUAAAUAUAUUUUUCUCAACUGUCUUUUUAUAGAGCACAAAAAUAUUUGUUAUGGGCUUAAUAUGCACACACACACACAGUAAAUUAGAGACAAUAUAUCUAUAUAUCAUAAACUAGAGACGAGUCUUGCUCUGUCACUCAUGCUAGAGUGCAGUGGUAAUGAUCAUAGCUCAAUGCAGCCGUGAACUCCUGUCUCAGGCAGUCCUCUGCUCUCAGCCUCCUGAGUAGCUGGGACUACAGGCAUGCACCACCAUGCCCAGCUGAUAAAAUAAAUAUUUUAUAAUUGAAUGACGGUGAUUCGGAGUCAUGAAGGGACCCAGAGUCAUAAAAUAUAAAGAUGUUAAAAGACUGGCUCACAUCAGAAGUAUAAAGUUCGAGUUUAGUAAGUCAAUAUGAAAGUAGUCUCCCCUUAGCCGCAGUUUUGCUUUUCAUUGGUCUCAUUUAUUCUCAAUCAUCUGUAGUUCAAAUAUAUUAAAUGGAAUAUUCCAGAAGUAAACAAUCCAUGUUUUAAAUUGCACACCAUUCUGUGUAGCAUGAUGCGAUCUCAUGCUGUUUUGCUUUGUCCCUUCUUCAUCACCAGAAGCGUGAAUACAGUACUCAAGAUGUUUUCAGAGAAGACCACAUUCACAGCAUUACUUUAAUUACAGUAUAUUGCUAUAACUCUUCUAUUUUAGUAUUAGUUACUAUUUUGAUCUCUUAACUUUGUGCCUGAUUUAUAAAUUAAACUUUAUCAUAGGUAUGUCUGUAUAAGAAAAAACAUCGUGUAUGUAGGGUUUGAUACUAUAUGUGGUUUCAGGUACCCACUGGGGGUUUGGGAUAAGGGGGGAAUAUUCUAAUAACCAAAUAUAAUCCUCUAGCAGUAGACAGAAAUGUGUAACUAAAAUAUUAACCUCUCUUAGUUAAAUAUUUAUUUUAUGUUUAUUUUAUUUUGAGAUGGCGUCCCACUCUGUUGCCCAGGCUAGAGUGCAGUGGCAAGAUUUCAGCUUCCUGCAACCUCCAUCUCCCAGGUUCAAGCAAUUCUCCUGCCUCAGCCUCCCAAGUACCUAGGACUACAGUAUGUGCCACCACACUCGGCUAUUGUUUAUAUUUUUAGCAGAGACAGGGUUUCACCAUGUUGGCCAGGCUGGUCUCAAACUCCUGACCUCAGGUGAUCUACCCACCUCAGCCUCCCAAAGUGCUAGGAUUACAGGCGUGAGCCACCGCACCCAGCCAGUUAAAUAUUACUUAAAACUAACUAAUAGAUAUGCUCACUAGAAGAGCAUUGGUCUAGAAUAUAUUGUGUGUGGGGGCAUCUUGUGAAAGAGAACAACUGAGAAAAGAUGCUUAGGACAACACAUGUAUGGGCACAUGGCUUUGACCCACAUACCAAGUAAGGGAGACAAAGUGCCCUUUUUAACCUGUGACUUUUGUGUCUCUUCACCUAACCCAGCUGGUAUUGUAUUCAUAUUACCAACCACCAACACUGUCCAGUCCCUUCAUUCUCCUGGCUCUGGAAGACUGCGGAGAAACAUGAAACCAGCUCAGUCACUGUGCUUUGCUCUCUGCAGUCUGACUCUGAACUCUUGACUUUGAUCUACUGCCUCAUUUUUCAGUCAGUGACUAAGCAGUUUUUGAGUUAAUAAGUAACUCUCAGGUGACUGAUUAAAAAUUCUAGGAGGUGACUUAGAAAGGAGUCUAAAAUAUUGUUGCACUAAUCGAAUUCAUCCUGUUUUUCAUUCACAAAAUAGUACAGCUACUAGUACUUUGGCUUUAGGGUGAAAAUUGUUAAACCCACUACUGUUCCUUGUCCUUUAGACAGUUAUGGGCCGUCCUAUUUCAACAAGAGGAAACAGAGGACUAGUCUAAAGGAAAAUAUUAGGCUCAGUGUUCUCAAGAGCACAUGUAUUGAGAAGAUUUUGCAGGUUAUGGAAAGCAUUUAAAGAAACAAGGCCAGGUGCAGUGGCUCACUCCUGUAAUACCAGCACUUGGGGAGGCCAAGGCAGGUGGAUCACUUGUCAGUAGUUCAGUUGCCGUAUUGCCUGGCCAAUAUGGCAAAACCUUGGCUCUACAAAAAUAUACAAAAAUUAGCCAGGUGUGGUGGUGUGCGCCUGUAGUCCCAGAUACUCAGGAGGCUGAGGCAAGAGAAUCGCUUAAACCCAGGAGGCGGGGUUACAGUGAGCAGAGAUGAAUCGAAACACUGCACUCCAGCCUGGGCAACAGAGCGAGACUCUGUCUCAAAAAAAAAAGAAGAAGAAAGUUGAAAGAAAUUUUGUCUUCAAAUGUCAAAUACCUCCACUGCCAUGUAGAUGCUAAUAUUGUGUAAGCAAUUUUCUGUGAGCUAAUUGUGAAAGAAGUUAUAACAGUUGCUAUACCCUUCUUACCUUGAAUCUGAACGUUAAUUUAGCCGCAAAGAUAGCAACAAGACAACAUCUCGAACGUGUCUUCUCCAUAGCAAAGUCACACUUUCUUUUAAGCAUAGAUGAAAUCUAAACUACUGUAGUCAUUAAUUUUAAAUCUCAUAUUGGGCAAAUGCUUACUUGAUAUAGUCAGGAGCUUGAUACAGUCAUGUUUUUGAUGAAUUUUAAAAGAUAGCUCUGCUGUGAAGUUUAUUUGCAUUAACUCCUUCAUACCAUUUGCUUGUGGAUUUUGUGUUUUUAUGUAUAUGGUAGGAAUAGUAACUAGCUUGUAGGGAGUCCUAGCCAUAAGCCAAGCAUUGGUCUAAGUGUUUUGUAUGCAUUAAUUGAUGACUCCAUUUACAGAUGAGUGACUGAAACAUGGAAGAGUUAAGCAACUUUCCCAAAGUCAUACAGCCAGGACAUAGCAGAACACAGCCUUGAACCCUGGCAAUCUGGGUCCAGAAUUUACACUUUCUAACCUCACUGCCUUGCUGUAUGAUCUUAAACAUGCCAAGUAUUAUUUCUCUAGAGUUCAUGAUAGGAUGGGGAGUAAGAGUAGAAAAAUUAAGAAUGGGGGAAGAUAUAAUAGGAAAUUGAGUCAGAAUAUUUGGCCUCCCUCAAAAGUAAUUAGAACGAUUAUAUAUUUACUUAUGUUUUAUCCUUUUUAACUGAUAUUUUUAUUCAUAAGCUUGUCCAACUCAGUUUUAGAUUAAAAAUAUAAAGUUAUUUAUUUCCUAAAAAAUUCUGAACUAUCAGACUGCUGCAUUGUCAGCAGCAAGAGACCUCUGGGUUCCUGAGGGGGAUGAGGGAAGGUCUGGUGCCCCUGAAAUUCCAAAGAAUUAUUCUCAUCUCACUGCACUGUGCUUACCCAUAAUAGAGGCAUAAUCAAUAUUUGUUGAAUGACCAAGUACAUAAUUAUCAUCUCUCUUUAUAAUGGUAAUGUGUCAUGUGAGGAACAAAAUCACAAAUACUUUCUCCUCUUUGUCCCCGGCGUCCUUAUACCUACUUCUGUUAAUAGAUGUGGUGUACUGUAAAGUAUUUGUUUCUAUGUAGUUCUCCCCACAGUGUGAACUUGAGGACAGGGGCCAUGUCUUACCUCUGUAUCCCAAGAAUCUUGCAUCUGGUUAUCAAUAACUUAGCUUGUCAUUGACAAACGGCUGUGGAAGGAAGGGAAGGAGUGAGGCAGAAAGGUGGACCUAGAGCUGGUACCCUUGUGUAUCUGUUUUACGUUUGUUAAAAGUUCAUUGAGUUUAAUCAUUUGAGACUUUUGAAAUAUAUUUGAAGAUGAUAUUUCUUGGAUUUGAUAUGACUCCUCUGAUUUAACCCCUGGAACGAGGCCACUGGGAUUCAAACAGUGUGUAUGUUAUAGUCUGUCCCUUAGGAAGACCGCCUGAUUUUAUUGCAAAAUUAUGUCGUACUCCAAAGGGCUUUGGAUGUACUCUUGGUGAGUCUAUCUAUAAUUAUUGAUAAAUGCAUUCAUUUUUGCUUAAUUUAUACAGAAUGCUUAUGUGAAUCACCCCAAAUCACUGUAGCAUUCUAAAUUUCCAUCUCAUGCUAUAGCUAUGGACUAGGAAGUCUGCCUUGGAAAUGAUGGGUUAUUCUUUGGAAAACCACAUAUGUAUUUAUUAUUUGAGACAAAUGUGCAGUAUGGGGUCUUUUCCCCCUCCAAUAAUAUUAAAUGCUGUGUUCUCACUUGUAGGUGGGAGCUAAACAAUGGUUACACAUAGCCAUACACAGGGAAAUAAUAGACACUGGGGACUUUAAAAGUGGUGAGGGUGGGAAGGAGAUGAAGACUGAAAAAUUGCCUGUUGAGUACAAUCUUCAGUAUUAGGGUUACAGUACGCUAGAAGCCCAAACCUCACCAUCACACAGUAUAUCUCUGUAACAGACCUACGCACAUACCCUCUGAAUCAAUACAAAUAAUAUGAAAUACUGUAUCGUCCACUUUUUACUUUCUUCUCCCAGGCCUGCUGUACUCUCAUGUUACACCUCAUUUGGCUCGCAUCUCUUGCGGUACGCACCGUGCACUCACAAUUGUGCUGGAUGCUGUUUUUGUUUCUACGGGUUAUAAAAAUUUGAUUUUCCUCCAGAAUUCUAUUUUUUGUUUUUAAAUUCAGGUCAGCAUACAUGAUGACUUCCAUCUUUAGUGUAAGCACAAUAAAGUGCUUACAAUAAAGCUUUCUUGUUUACGGGUUUUACUGACCCUGUCAUCUUGCAGAAUACAGUCUAUCUAUUAGUAAGUGAUAGCUCUCAUUCUGUCAUUACCACGGUGGUCUGAGCAAGAGUAGGGGCUGGAAUGAGGCUACAUAUGGAUUCUUGAUGGGUAGUUUUAAAAACUGUGCUUCCAUGGAAGCUUCUGAUAAUGUGUCCCCACCUCCACCCCACCUCCCACUGUGCUGCUAUAACUGGCCUUAUGACAACAAAUGAAUCUGGCAUAAGAGAGAAGAGCGCCAGAGUAAGUGAGACAGAACUGUGUGAACUGGCCAUGUCAUUGGAUUCUACCCAGUCAUAAGAGAGAAGAGCACCAGAGUAAGUGAGACAGAACUGUGUGAACUGGCCAUGUCAUUGGAUUCUACCCAGUCAUAAGAGAGAAGAGCGCCAGAGUAAGUGAGACAGAACUGUGUGAACUGGCCAUGUCAUUGGAUUCUACCCAGUCAUAAGAGAGAAGAGCACCAGAGUAAGUGAGACAGAACUGUGUGAACUGGCCAUGUCAUUGGAUUCUACCCAGUCAUAAGAGAGAAGAGCACCAGAGUAAGUGAGACAGAACUGUGUGAACUGGCCAUGUCAUUGGAUUCUACCCAGUCAUAAGAGAGAAGAGCACCAGAGUAAGUGAGACAGAACUGUGUGAACUGGCCAUGUCAUUGGAUUCUACCCAGUCAUAAGAGAGAAGAGCACCAGAGUAAGUGAGACAGAACUGUGUGAACUGGCCAUGUCAUUGGAUUCUACCUAGUCAUAAGAGAAGAGCACCAGAGUAAGUGAGACAGAACUGUGUGAACUGGCCAUGUCAUUGGAUUCUACCCAGUCAUAAGAGAGAAGAGCACCAGAGUAGGAAGGAGAAGGGAACAAAAGCAACAAACAUCUGAUCAUAUUUUGAGAGACUGGGGAGAGACCAUUUACAACCAAAACCAUCUUCAAGACAGAAGAGGCUAGAUCAUGAUGAGUCAUGAAACACAGUUUGAGGAUGAAUUUCUGGAGAGUUAUAGCCUUUAGUUAUAUUAGCAAAGACGGUAAAUAUUUUCAUAAAGAGAAGAGUCAGCACCACUCUACUCUGGCCUGAGGUAUAAUUACCUUGCAGCUUUUCAAAGGGAAUUGUUCUCAUUAGUGGGUGGCAGUCAUAGGAAUCGAGGUUUUUAUCUUUUUAGUUUUUAUUUCAUAUGUACAUAUCUAUAUAUAUUUUAGAGACAAGCUCUUGCUCUGUCACCCAGGCUAGCGUAUAAUGGCAAGAUCUUAGCCUUGACCUCCCAGGCUCAAGUGAUCCCCCAACCUCAGCCUCCCAAGUAGCUGAGACUACAGGUGUACACCACCACAGCCACUUGUUAAUUUUUUUGUAGAGACAGAGUCUUUCUGUGUUGCUUAGGCUGGUUUCGAACUUCUGGGCUCAAGUGAUCCUCCUGCCUUGACCUCCUGAAAUGCUGGGAUUACAGGCAUGAGCCACUGCACCUGGCCUUGAGGUUUUUAAAAGAGAACUCUAAAGACAUUGAGUCUCCAGAAUGAGUAAAAUAUAUAGUCAUUUUAAUGUGAUAUUUUCAUUUAGUCUUAUUUAUUUAUUUAUUUAUUUGUUUAUUUUUGAGACAGUCUCGCUCUGUUACCCAGGCUGGAGUGCAAAGGUGUAGUCUUGGCUCACUGCAACCUCCACCCUCUGGGUUCAAGCAGUUCUCCUGCCUCAGUCUCCCUAAUAGCUGGGAUUACAGGUGUGCACUACCACACCCAUCUAAUUUUUAUAUUUUUAGUAGAGACAUGGUUUUGCCAUGUUGGCUGGGCUGGUCUCGAACUCCUGACCUCAGGUGAUCUGCCCGCAUAGGCCUCCCAAAACUCUGGGAUUACAGUGUGAGCCACUGCACCCGGCUCAUUUAGUCUUAAAACAUUUCAAAUAUGUCCACCAAACCUAAGGAGAAGGUAAGCAGUAAACAGUAUCUGAAGAAGAUACUGUUAUGACUAAGUUCAACUUAAUUUUUUAACUAGACUAUGAAUAGAUUUGUGGGGGUACAUCUGCAGCCCAAGGGCUUUUGGGGCUCUGAAGCUACAACUGUAGGCAAGGAUGGAUUUUUCAUCUCCUUUCUAUCAAGGUUUGAAUGUUUCUUCUGAGUCAUUCCACCCAGAGAGCCCUAGACUUCUUUCAGUUACCGCUCCUUUCCUCACAACUGUCCACUUCUGAGCCCCAGUUUGGGGAGCUGAAAGUAAGCAGUGAUUUGGAGAGGGAGACAAAAAGGAAAAGGGAGCCCAGCAAAGGUUCAUUCAAGGCUCACCUGUGCGUCCCCUGCUAGCAGCUGCCUCUCACCAUCCCCACAGCAUAAGCUCUCUCCUCCUCACCCCAGCCCAAGUCUGCAAGGCACCAUCCCAAGGGCCUCUGUCCCAUGCCUGCUGACCUGCCAGCUCGCGCCUUCCAUAAUCUGCCUCACCCGGCACCUUCCCCAACCUGCCCAACUAGCACCAUUGAUCUCUUUAUUGCUUAUUUUAAAGCAGCCUUUGCAACCGUAGUUUUCAUUCAGCCAUUCGGACAACCAUGCUAAAGCAACCCUAGUGCAGAGGCCAUUGGCUAUAAGCAGAACAGGCGCAGAAUAAAAAUGUCGGGCCCUUUUUUCAAAAUUCAUUAAGAAUUUCAAGACAGCAACAGCAGAGCAUUAAACCAAGCACAGGGCUCUUCUAGGCAUGUGGCCCCGUGCAUAGGCUGCAGGCUCAUGAAGCCGGUCUUGGCUGUAAGAGGCCCAAGUGAGUUGAAGGUUGGUCAUCUAAAUACACUGAUAUAUUUAAAACUCAAUAUCAUAUUAUUGGAACACUAACAAAAUUGUACUUCAAUCAAACUGACUAGAUUUUACCUGAAAAUCUAGUAUAAUAACACAGGCCCACAUAUGUGACUUUGGUGUUGGAACUCCACAACAGUGGGAUAGAUUCUCUAAGUGUUCAAGCACAUCUGUACUCUUUAUUUAAAACAAAAUAUAACUCCACAGGCAUUUCUGAUAAUCAGCGUUAAAAACCACUGGAAAAUAGAUGCCUCCAUUCCACCUCUAAAGUGUCUGAUACACAAAUUAAAGAAUAUAACAACCUUCACAAAACUAUUGGGAAGGAAAUGAGAUUUAUGUAUGAAAUUAGACUAUGCACUAUAAAGUAGUAAAUAAAUGUAAAUUACUGAUAGUGAUAAAGACAGAACAAGCCUUCAAAUUAAUCUUAUAGGUAGUCAAGUAUCAUUACCUGUUGGAUGUGUUGAAGAUGUUAAAUGAAUGGCAGGAGGGGAAGGAGUGGUAUCGAUGAGGAUAGUUUAGACCAUGUAAGAUGUUUAGAAGUACAAAAGCAAAAAUUUCAUGAGGACCUCAUGUGUUUGGACACUGUCCCUUGGCCCCCCACCCCCACCCCACCCUACCAGUUCAUAGUCCGGUGCUGGGUACAUAGUAGCUGGCUCAGGAGAAAUUUGCAAAUGAAAGAAAAGAAAGGCCUGCUUUAGGCAAAGGUUUCAAAGGUUUAUGGUAGGCUUGGACUUCUCCAUCUAUAUGUUUCGUUUUCUGCAGUACAACCUGAGUUGUACUAAACUAUUCUACUAUUCUCUUGCUAUCUAGAGGCUGCAAUGCAGGCUCAUCAGAGCCUCCCCAAGACCUAAUCUUUACCUGCUGGUUAUUUCAAAACCCCUGCUCCUUAUCAAAAGGAAUGGAUCCUAUGUCCUAUUCCUGCAAGACUGUUGCAUGCUCUUCCUUUAGUUGUUAAGUAACAUUGAAUUCUUAUAACAAGUUACGGGCACAAAAGGGCCACCUUUCAUAGAUAAUGUUUCAUUCACAGGAAUGUAAUAGUUGAUCCUUGAAACACGCCAAAAGACAUACCCAGUAAUGACUAUUUCAGGCACUGUGGCUGGCUGAAUAUGUGAGUUUUAAAUUAACCUGGGCUGUAUAGGGUCGACACUAAGGGGAAAUAUAUGUGUUUCUGUGGAAAAGACAGCCCUUACAGGCUGCCUAUGAGACUCCCGAUUUUAUGAAAUCCAAGUUUUUUCAAGGCUUUAUGAUAGAGCUAGCUACAGAUAGUGUGUUACAGUUUUAUUACAAUGUGGGCAUUCUCUUAGGGCAUAGGUUCCCUCUGUGACUAAAUGAGAGUUGGAUUCCAUAGUCAGUAAGAGUCAACACCUUGAUAAGAUACUUAAUCCCUCAGAAAGGACUGAUGCUGAAAGUCCUUGGAGAAAAAUGGAGAAUUAAAGCUUAAACCAAGAUACCCGCCUUGUUUCCAGGCUCUUUGUUUCACAUGAGUAGGAUAUGGGUGCUAAUUGGAACCAUCAGUUGGAAGAAUAACAGGCUUAUCUAUUUCUUGAUCAACGUUCCCAAAGUAGAGCCCAGAGGACUAAAGAUAACAUGUCUGGUUAACACUAGCCCCCUCUGAAAGAAGAAAAGAGAAAGUCAUGUUUUCUCAGUUGAAUUUGAAACCAAGAUCACUUUACUCACUCAAUUAACACUGCUCUUGACUGUUCCUGGGAUAGUUUCCCUCUGUAUUCAUAAGGUCCCUUAGUCCUAGAUUUCCAAGGUAACGUCAUUUGGUUCUCCUCUGUGAGCCAAAUAUACACAGAUAUCAAAGUGUUACUAAUCCUUUAAGAAGCUAGGAGUUUAAGCUACUACUGAGCUUUCAAAGAUUCUGAUAACUGAACUUUUGUUUCUGACCAAUGAUAACAUUUUUAAUUUGGAGUUAGAACCGUUCCCUCUGCUAUUAGGUGCAGCUGGAGCAGACAGGGCAUGUUGUUGUUCCAAAGUAGAUAGGUUCUGGUAAUGCUGUUUUUGGUUAGUUUUUUUGUUUGUUUUUCAAGACUGAGUCUCUCACUCUGUUACCCAGGCUUACUGAAGCCUUGAAUCUCCUGGGCUCAAGCUGUCCUCCCACCUCAGACCUCCAAGUACCUGAGAUCACAGGCAUGCACCACCAUGUCCGGCUACUUUGUUUUUGCAGAGACAGGGUCUCCUUAUGUUGUCUAGGGUGAUCUUGAACUCCUGGGCUCAAGUGAUCUCCAACCUUGAUCUCUCAAAAGUGCUAGGAUUACAGGCAUGAGCCACUGUGCCUGGCCAAUGCUAUACUUUAAAGCAUUCAAGCAGAGUCCUAAAUUUUAGUCAACCCUUUAUCACUUCCAUGCUUUUUAUCAUAUUUACCACCUGAAAUUUUACUAUUUUUCUUUAAAUUCGUUCAAUGCUAUAUUUGAACAAAUUUAUUUUACUGCCAUAAAUGGAAAACUAUUUUUAAAUUACUUUGAUUUAAACUAGUUGUUUUACUACUUAUCCUUAAUUGAGGGUAAUAAAAUAAAUACAAUGAAAACAAGUUUAAAAAAUCCUAGCUAGGUAAUAUCUCAUGGCAAAGCCUCUGAGCCCAAGGUCUGUCCCCUUUUAUUCGCAAGGGAAAUUAACCAGGGUUGAGGACGUACUAACUCGGUGUUUUUUUCCUUUGGAGAAUAUGAAGGGUUGAAAAGAGAAUCCUUUUUCUCUUCAGUAACUAUUUAAAUGCUUUUUUUUUUUUUGAGACGGAGUUUAGCUCUUGUUACCCAGGCUGGAGUGCAAUGGCGCGAUCUCGGCUCACCACAACCUGCGCCUCCUGGGUUCAAGCAAUUCUCCUGCCUCAGCCUCCCGAGUAGCCAGGAUUACAGGCACGCACCACCACGCCCAGCUAAUUUUUUGGAUUUUGAGUAGAGACGGGGUUUCACCAUGUUGACCAGGAUGAUCAACCUCGUGAUCCACCCGCCUCGGCCUCCCAAACUGCUGGGAUUACAGGCUUGAGCCACCGCGCCUGGCCCUUAAAUGCUUUUCAUUCCAAGCAGUAGUCAGCCUAGCUUUGAAAAAACUCAGUCCCUUCACAUUCUCAGUAAGGAAGUAUUUGACGGGACUUGAGUGAAAACCCUUUUCUUGGAUGUAAGAACACCCCAAGGGAGACAGACGACACUGUCCCUACACCCAAGAAAUAUGUCAUCUACUAAGGGUCGGGAUAAACUGAUUAAAAAGAAAUAAUUUAUUGAAGAGUGUGAGAAAUAUGCAAGUACUUAAUACUAGAACCUGAGCAGCAGAGGAAAGAAGGUGGAGUUUUGUCUGUUUUGUUCACUGAUGGAUCUAUCCCUAGCUGUUAGAAGAGUACUUGGUAUAUGGUAGGGGUCUGCUGAGUCUAAGAACACAAACCACAUUCCCUGGUCUCCUAGUGGUGACACAGCGCUAAAGAUCAGGAGUGGGAAAUAGAUUGGCACAAUCAGGAGAAAUAAAGAGGUAAAAUUUGGAGAGAAUCUUGGAGGAAGUUAACAUGCAGACACACACAGUGGCUUAGAACAGAGGGUACACGGUACAUAUGAAAACAGGUUAAGGGAGUCACCAAGAUCAUGACCUUACAGCAGCCUUAAAAAUGCAAACUACCCUCCAAUUUGAAUGAAUGCUCCUCUUUCCUCAGACCUAAAGCCCCAUUCCCCCUCUUAUUCACAAGCAUCACAAAUUUAUGACUCACAUACACCUUACAAAAUGAGCUGACAUUUCUGCAAGACAGACUUCUAUUUCCAUAAAUGUGGGUUCGUUUUUGAGAAACCCAGUUUCAUGUAAUUAUGUUAGUUUAUUUUUCUGUCACUUCAACUACUGAAAUCUCCUAAAGACUUCAACUAUUAAAGGUAAGCAGUUACGCCAUUUCUCAUAGUUCCCUCGCUAUUUUUUUGGUUAAGUGGAGUCAUUGUUCCUCUGGUACUAAUGUCACACAAUUUGUUGCUCUAGAAAUAGCAAAACAAGAGAAAUAGAUUAGUGUGAUUAUAAAUAUGGAGCAACAGGUGGGAACAGAAGCUGUUUCUGGUAUUUCUCACCAAAAGUGCCAUGGCCUCUUGAGUCUGUCUCUCUGUAGAAGGCAGCAGUGCAACGUCAAGGAUGUGUCCGAGCUCUGGCUGCGCAGACUUUGUGAAAGGUUUCCAUUUCAGAAAUACUAUGUUCUGAUUUUAGUAUGGGUAUUUCUCAUGUUGGUUAAGUGGUACCAAAUCUUCAGUUAAUUAUACCUGGAAGAUGUUUUUUGGAAAGCUGAUUUUUAUCUUCUUUCACACUAUAGCUAAUUUUUAAAUACAGCGAAGUAAGGACUUAGGCCAAUCCCUGAAUCAAAAAGCAAGGUCUGAACCUUCUUAAUUUACUGAACCUCAACCUAACCUCAUUUCUUAAAAAUCGAAGUGGUAACUUUUCAACAGACAUGUCUUUGAAGCAACAGCAGGAACCAACUUUUCUAAACUGAGUGAAGUAGCACUGCGAAAUAUUUUAAAAAUGGAACUUCAGAUGGAGCUUCGCUGAUUCUCUGCAUCUGAUUAACUUCGUGUCUUUGGGAGAGGGUGUGUCUUGGUAUUCCAGUGUCUGGAGUCCUGACCAACCUCGAGUCUCUGUUAAGUGGAAAAAGCCAAAUUUGUCUGAACUAAAUAAAUUGUGUGUUUGUCUUUCA